rnacentral:rRNA from 1 species
UACGUAGGGGGCAAGCGUUUGUCCGGAAUCAUUGGGCGUAAAGAGCGCGUAGGCGGUCCGGUAAGUCCGCUCUGAAAGUCCGGGGCUCAACCCCGGGAGGCGGGCGGAUACUGUCGGGCUAGAGUCCGGAAGAGGCGAGUGGAAUUCCUGGUGUAGCGGUGAAAUGCGCAGAUAUCAGGAGGAACACCGAUGGCGAAGGCAGCUCGCUGGGACGGUACUGACGCUGAGGCGCGAAAGCGUGGGGAGCAAACAGG